CGGGAGGCAGCAGUGGGGAAUAUUGCACAAUGGGCGAAAGCCUGAUGCAGCGACGCCGCGUGGGGGAUGACGGUCUUCGGAUUGUAAACCCCUUUCAGUAGGGACGAAGCGCAAGUGACGGUACCUGCAGAAGAAGCACCGGCUAACUACGUGCCAGCAGCCGCGGUAAUACGUAGGGUGCGAGCGUUGUCCGGAAUUACUGGGCGUAAAGAGCUCGUAGGCGGUUUGUCACGUCGUCUGUGAAAUCCCUCGGCUUAACCGGGGGCGUGCAGGCGAUACGGGCAGACUUGAGUACUACAGGGGAGACUGGAAUUCCUGGUGUAGCGGUGAAAUGCGCAGAUAUCAGGAGGAACACCGGUGGCGAAGGCGGGUCUCUGGGUAGUAACUGACGCUGAGGAGCGAAAGCAUGGGUAGCGAACAGGAUUAGAUACCCUGGUAGUCCAUGCCGUAAACGGUGGGCGCUAGGUGUGGGGUCCUUCCACGGACUCCGUGCCGUAGCUAACGCAUUAAGCGCCCCGCCUGGGGAGUACGGCCGCAAGGCUAAAACUCAAAGGAAUUGACGGGGGCCCGCACAAGCGGCGGAGCAUGUGGAUUAAUUCGAUGCAACGCGAAGAACCUUACCUAGGCUUGACAUAUACAGGACGACGGCAGAGAUGUCGUUCCCUUGUGGC
rnacentral:rRNA from 1 species